ACGUUAUACAAACACUGUUGAAAGUGAGUGAGUGAGUGAGUGCUUUAGAGAGACAGUGUGUGUUUGAAAGUCGGUGCUUUAGAGAGAGAAAGAGAGGCAGUGUGUUUUCAUGGCGGAUCUCUGAUCUUUCUCUCUACCAAAUUUUAGCAGGAUUUCUGGCGAAAAGAGAUGUAGAACAAUGAAAGAUUUAUGUCAGAUGGUCAACCUAUAAAUCAAUAUGGGCCUCCUGUGAGGGCACCAUUCAUUUAAUUUGACCUUUUGUAAACUCCUUGAGAAAUGGAAGAGCUAUUGAAAGAGUUAGAUGAAACUAAAGCUGCUAUGGUGAAGCUCAAAGCUGAGUAUCAUGUCAAAUCAGACAUGUCUGAGAACCUAAGAAAAGCUCUUGAAGAGCAGCUCAACAAGUUCAAAGAAACCAAGAUUCAGAUGGAAAAGCAGUCUGUAGAGCUAAACCGGCAAUCUGAACAAACAGAGGUUGCAAGGCAAAUGUCCAAGGAACUGAGAUCCCGCCUAACUGAGAAGGAAUCUGCCCUGAAAUGCUUGAACUUGUCAAGUGACCAAUUGAGAAAUAAUUUGAACCAGCAGUUUCUGUGCCUAGAGAGAGAGAACAGAGACCUCGCCAACUCAUUAGAAGAAGCUAAUUCUCUCUGUAGAGAGAAUGAACUGAAUGUCCAAGCUUUGACUGAAGAGGUUAACAGCUUAAAAAGGGCUUUGCAAAUUUCAAAGAAGAAAUGCAUGGAAGCUGAACUUAGGUCUGGUGUGUUAUCUAGCGAGAUCAAGCAAAUGACUUCUGAUUUAGAGGCGAAGACUGAAGCCCUCACUGAAUUCUCUGAAAUCAGGAGACAGAACAAGGAGAUGAGAGAAAAGUUAGUGGAAAUGGAGAGGGAUUUAGUUAAGGAGACCUCAGAGAGAGUGUCUGCACAAAAAGCUCUUGAAAAUUUGAGAAAGAGGGGUGACUUAAUAAAUAUUCUAGAGAGAAAAAAUGGAGAUUUAGCAGAGAAGCUGAAAUGGAAGAAAGAGCAGUUUGAGAAUCUUGAGGAAGCUCAUUGUAAGCUACAGAAAGAAUUUCAGGUUGAGAAGAAGGAAUGGGUAGCUGAGAAAACAAGUUUGCUGAAUGAGAUGGGUUCUUUGCAAACCAAGCUUGACUUGCAAAAUAGGGUUUCUGAGGACCUUAGGUCGAAGUUACAAAUGUGCCAUCAGGCUCUCGCCCAUGAAGAAAGCCGGAGAAAGCUACUCCAGAUUCAAUUGGAUGAGUCUAAGGUUGGAUUUGAGAGUGUGGUUGAAGAAUACCAGGAAGCCACGUCAAAGAUUGAGACUUUAAACAUGGAGAGGAACAAGGAAAUUGCAGAACUGAGAGGGUCAUUAUCCAUGAAAGAGAGCUUGUUGAGAGAGAUGGAGAUUAGAAAGACCCAUCUGGAGCAAGAGAACGGAGAGCUAUUGGGGUCCAUAAAGGAGCUCCAGGAAGCUCAAAUAGCUGAAGCUGGACAAAAUGGGUCCUCGUCAAGCCUUAAGAAGAGACUCAAAGCUUUAGAACAGGUUCAUUGGGACUGUAGUAAGGUUCUCAAGGCUAAGGAGGCAGAAUGGAACUCUCAGACACAGGAUCUAGAGAGGGAAUUGGAUGAAUGCCGUUGCAGUUUGAUUUCCUCUGAAACUGAGAUUCAAGAAUUGCAGAUGGAAUUGGAAGUGUGCUAUUCCUCGAUGUUGUGUUUCUUCGAAGAGAAGGAGCGGUUGUCCACGAAUUUAUGGGUUUUGGAAUCAGGAUUGCAUGAGAAUCUGGCCCCAUCGGAAGUACAGGCCCUCAACAGUGAAAAAGCUCUCAAAGAGGAGUUGGAUAGAAGUGCCAAAGAUGUAGAGAGGGGAAGCGUUGUCUUUGAUGAGAAGACAAUGGGAGACAAGGGAUUGGAGACUGAGUUACAAAGGUCUCAGGAGGUGAUCAGAGAGCUGCAGAUCAAAAUGGAGGCUGCUCUCUCUUCAAGGGAUGAAUGCUUAGUUCAAUUGAAGCAGGAGAGAGAGAGUCUGGGUUUGAUCUUAGAAGCACAGAGAGAUUUGGAGACUAGAAAGACCCAUUUAGAGCAAGAGAACAAUGGGCUAUUGAGGUCCUUAAAAGAGCUCCAGGAAGCUCGGCUUGCUUCAAUUGAAUUCAGUGAGUCGUUGUCAGUCCUUAAGCAGCAAUUCAAAGAUAUAGAAUGGAACCUCAAAGCCAAGGAGGCUGAAUGGAACUGUCAGAGAGAGGAUCUAGAGAGAAAAUUGAGUGAAUGUCAUUGCAAUUUUGUUUCAAGAGAAAUGCAGAUUCAGGAAUUGCAGAUGGAAGUGGAAGAAUGUCAUACCUCACUGUUGGAGUGCUUGGAAGAGAAGGAUCGGGUCUCCAUGUAUCUACUGAUUUUGCAAUCAGAAAUGCAAAGGAGUCAGGUUCAAUUGAUAGAACAGGCUCUCAAACGUGAAAAAGGUCUCAAAGAGGAGUUGGAAGGAAUCACCAAGGAUUUAGAGAGAGAAAGACUUGCCUUGGGUGAGAAGACACGAAGAGAGAAAGUAUUAGAAAUUGAGUUAGAAAGUUCUCAGGUUUUCAUCAGGCAAUUGCAGAGGGAAUUGGAAACUUCCAUAUCUUUGAGGGAUGAAAGCAUGGCUAGAAUGAGGAAGGAGAGAGAAAUGCUGAGUUCGAUCAUAGAUGCACAGAGAGGAAAGCUUGAAAUAUUCAACCAGAAGAUCAACAUCCUAGAACUAAAAUUAUCAGAAUAUUUGACUAAUGGGAUGCUGGUACUAUCAGAGCUACAAAAUCAAACCAUGAAUGGAACCAAAUCUGAACUUGAUGAAGAUAUUGGAGAACUAGAGUUGAAGCUGGAAAACUUGGACCAAAGGAUUAACACUUUCGAACAUGAUGAGAAGAAGUUUAGCUUGGAAUUGCAAACUGUUAUGCAUAACACUGAGGAUAGGUUGGCCAGAUUGCUGAUAUUGACUGAAUUGGAUGGUCAAAGCACGAAGGGGUCCAUAUCUGAACUUGAAGAAGAGGUUGGACAACUAAAAUUGAAGCUUGAGUCUGAAAGAGAAGAGUCAGCCGACAAAUUGAGGAAGCAAAUAGAAUGGUUUGAGGGCCAGUUAGAUAAUAAGUCAUGUAUUGAGAGAGGUUGACUGAGGAGACAGAAGAGAUUGUGAGAGAUACAAGGGUUGUUCUUGGGUUUUUUGACAGGUUUGAAGAAUUUGUUGAGCACGAUUCUGAUCUGCUACUCAGGCUUCAGGGGAUCAUUGAGAAGGCAUCAUGCAGAGCGGAUGCCGAUGGAGGAGUCGAUCUUCUAAGUGAAGCAGCAGACGAGUUUAAAGGACUUAGGAAAAACCAGAUACAGUGCAAGCAGUCUGAGCAUCUUGCAUACCCACAAAAGGAGCAUUUACAAACUGGCAAUGAGGAUAGCAAGAGCUGUUUAUCUUCACAGUCUAUCCAGGGCACUGAGAGAUCACCAUUGAAGGAGAUCAACGGUUAAAAAUUUGGAUUUUUAAAACAUUGGAAAUUGCUCUAAUCCCUUUAUUUGUUCUCUAACCUAUUUUGCUGCACACCCUCCUGUUAUGCACAAUGCAUGUGGAGGUGGAAUAUAUCUGACAAAUGUAAUUACAUUGAAACAACUAAAAGUUUUCAGAGAAAUAAUUUUUGGUUUGUCCUAUGCU